rnacentral:sRNA from 1 species
ACCAGGCCUUAGGGUAAAUCCGCCACUGG